CCUACGGGAGGCAGCAGUGGGGAAUAUUGCACAAUGGGCGAAACCCUGAUCCAGCGACGUCGCGUGCGUGAAGAAGUACCUCGGUAUGUUAAGCUCUAUUUGUAGGGAAGUAGAAUGCCGGUACUUGACUAAGUAGCCCCUGCUAACUACGUGCCAGCAGCCGCGGUACUACGCAGGGGGCGAGGGAUAUCCGGAUUUACUGGGUGUAAAGGGAGCGUAGACGGCUGGUCAAGUCUGAAGUGAAAGGCCAGGGCCCAACCCUGGGACUGCGGUGGAAACUGUGUAGCUAGAGUGCUGGUGAGGUAAGUGGAAUUCGUGGUGUAGCGGUGAAAUGCGUAGAUAUUAGGAAGAACACCGAUGGCGAAGGCAGCUUACUGGACAGUAACUGACGUUGAGGCUCGAAGGCGUGGGGAGCGAACAGGAUUAGAUACCCCUGUAGUC
rnacentral:rRNA from 1 species